GUGCGGUGAGCCAGCUGUUCUUGUAUUCAGGUCUAUGUUCUUACAUACCCCAUAUGAAUGUAUAUGAAUGUUGCAAUUGGCCUUGUGCCUUUAAAACAAAUACAACUUUCAACAACGGAUCUCUUGGCUCUCGCAUCGAUGAAGAACGCAGCGAAAUGCGAUAAGUAAUGUGAAUUGCAGAAUUCAGUGAAUCAUCGAAUCUUUGAACGCACCUUGCGCUCCUUGGUAUUCCGAGGAGCAUGCCUGUUUGAGUGUCAUGAAAUUCUCAACCUCUCUGGUUUUCUGACUAGUUAGGCUUGGAUCAUGGAAGUUGUUGGCUCAAUUUGAAUCAACUCUUCUUAAAUAUAUUAGCAAAGGCUUUUGCUGACCAUCAUUGGUAUGAUAAUUAUCUAUAUCAUUGGUAGCCAGUUCCCUUCACAGGGGGUCUUGCUUCUAAUCGUCGUUUCGACAACUUGACAACUUUGACCUCAAAUCAGGUAGGACUACCCGCUGAACUUAAGCAUA
rnacentral:rRNA from 1 species